UUAUUAAAUAUGUUUUAGGAACAAACAUACUUGCACUAAAAUUUUUGAAUCAGCACAUAUUUCAAAAUUUACAAAUAGUUAUGAAAACAGAAAGUGUUUUUUGUAUAGACUGUCCAUAGGGGCUGUAAGUCUCGUUUCUCGUCACUUCCGGUGACAAACAAAUCCGAUUCAGUAUAUACGAGUAUAGAAUUGGGCCAACUACACGUCCGAAAAACCAAUGCUUAUGCGUAAAUCAGAGAACGCUGUGUACCACAACCAUUUGUUAUGUUCCUGUUUAACAAGUUGACGUAUAUUGUCAAUGCAGUGGUUCAAGUGUCGAUGGAGAACAACCAGAAUUCAGGAAGAGUAUUUUCUCCCUCAAGUCCAGCCAUCCUUACUAUCACCUGAUACAGGACUAGCUUUUUGGACUACAGCCGACUGCAUGCAAAUUCUCCGGAUCAUGAAGGACUCUUAGUGGACAAAGAACAUUGCAAAGUGAUAGAAUUUUAUUGCUGCAACUUGAUUAUUUGGAGAACAGCUGACUGCAGAAUUAUCUGGGAUCAUAAAGGACUCUGAAUGGACACAUACCAUUAACAGAAUUAUACUUUCAAUAUUUUCAUUCCUGGAUGGAUUUAAAAUCAACAUGUAUGAUAAAAUAUACUUAAUAAAACAAUAACAAUCA